rnacentral:rRNA from 1 species
AUUGAACGCUGGCGGCGUGCCUAACACAUGCAAGUCGAGCGGUAACAGGUGUAGCAAUACAUGCUGACGAGCGGCGAACGGGUGAGUAAUGCUUCGGAAUCUACCCUAUGGUGGGGAAUAACCAGCCGAAAGGUUGGCUAAUACCGCAUACGUCCUACGGGAGAAAGCAGGGGAUCGCAAGACCUUGCGCCGAUGGAUGAGCCGAAGUCGGAUUAGCUAGUGGUGAGGUAACGGCUCACCAAGGCGACGAUCCGUAGCUGGUCUGAGAGGACGACCAGCCACACUGGGACUGAGACACGGCCCAGACUCCUACGGGAGGCAGCAGGUGGGAAUAUUGGACAAUGGGGCAACCCUGAUCCAGCGACGCCGCGUGUGUGAAGAAGGCCUGCGGGUUGUAAAGC